rnacentral:rRNA from 1 species
CUCAGGACGACGCUGGCGGCGUGCCUAAUACAUGCAAGUCGAACGGUCUUUCUAUGGAAGCUUGCUUCCACUGAGAAGAUAGUGGCGAACGGGUGAGUAACACGUGGGUAACCUGCCCAUAAGAGGGGGGAUAACAUCCGGAAACGGGUGCUAAUACCGCAUAGUUUUCUUGAUCGCAUGAUUGAGAAAGGAAAGACGGCCUUUGUGCUGUCGCUUAUGGAUGGACCCGCGGCGUAUUAGUUAGUUGGUGAGGUAACGGCUCACCAAGACGAUGAUACGUAGCCGACCUGAGAGGGUGAUCGGCCACAUUGGGACUGAGACACGGCCCAAACUCCUACGGGAGGCAGCAGUAGGGAAUCUUCCGCAAUGGACGAAAGUCUGACGGAGCAACGCCGCGUGGGUGAAGAAAGGUUUUCGGAUCGUAAAACUCUGUUGUCAGAGAAGAACAAGUUGGAGAGUAACUGCUCCAGCCUUGACGGUAUCUGACCAGAAAGCCACGGCUAACUACGUGCCAGCCGCUGC